CACGGGGGUUGGAGGGCAAGUCUGGUGCCAGCAGCCGCGGUAAUUCCAGCUCCAAUAGCGUAUAUUAAAGUUGUUGCAGUUAAAAAGCUUGUAGUUGAAUUUCGGGAUCAGUAGGUUGGUCAUGCCUAUGGUAUGUACUGGCUUUACUGGUUCCUCCUUCUUGAUGAUCUGUAAUGUCAUUAAUUUGGUGUUGCAGGGAGUCAGGACUGUUACUUUGAAAAAAUUAGAGUGUUUAAAGCAGGCAUACGCUUGAAUACAUUAGCAUGGAAUAAUGAAAUAGGACGUUCGAUCCUAUUUUGUUGGUUUCUAGGAUUGACGUAAUGAUUAAUAGGGAUAGUUGGGGGCAUUAGUAUUCAAUUGUCAGAGGUGAAAUUCUUGGAUUUAUUGAAGACUAAC
rnacentral:rRNA from 1 species